CAGAUGUUGAGACGGAGAUGGGAGACUUCGGUUAGACAGGGUAUGGAAAGGCUUAAAGGGACUUGGGAGAAAACAACACGAAAAGAGAUGGAGCAUCUAGAGCUUAGAAGGAUUCAAGUAGCUGAUCCCACCUUGUGGGAAAGGCUUAGUUUUCAGCUAUGACUGAUAGCAAGGCCUAUCACAUCGAUGUGGAAUUACAUGAGUAAGAUUGUCGAAAUCCAGCCCAAAAAAGUUAACAGACUA